rnacentral:rRNA from 1 species
UACAGAGGGUGCGAGCGUUAAUCGGAAUUACUGGGCGUAAAGAGCGUGUAGGCGGUCUGGUAGGUCCGUUGUGAAAACUGGAGGCUUAACCUCCAGACGUCGGUGGAAACCGUAUGACUAGAGUCCGGAAGAGGAGAGUGGAAUUCCUGGUGUAGCGGUGAAAUGCGCAGAUAUCAGGAAGAACACCCGUGGCGAAGGCGGCUCUCUGGGACGGUACUGACGCUGAGACGCGAAAGCGUGGGGAGCGAACAGG